UCCGGGGUAGCUCAACGGUAGAGCGGCUCCCUGUUAAGGAGAUGGUUGGAGGUUCGAAUCCUCCCCCCGGAG
rnacentral:tRNA from 1 species